rnacentral:rRNA from 1 species
GGACAGUCGCAGGUUAAAAGAAUUCGCCCUUCAUACGGAGGCAGCAGUGGGGAAUAUUGCGCAAUGGGCGGAAGCCUGACGCAGCGACGCCGCGUGGGGGAUGACGGCCUUCGGGUUGUAAACCUCUUUCGACCUUGACGAAGCCUUUCGGGGUGACGGUAGGGGUAGAAGAAGCACCGGCCAACUACGUGCCAGCAGCCGCGGUAAUACGUAGGGUGCGAGCGUUGUCCGGAAUUAUUGGGCGUAAAGAGCUCGUAGGCGGUCUGUCGCGUCGGUCGUGAAAACUUGGGGCUUAACCCUGAGCUUGCGGUCGAUACGGGCAUGACUGGAGUUCGGCAGGGGAGACUGGAAUUCCUGGUGUAGCGGUGAAAUGCGCAGAUAUCAGGAGGAACACCGGUGGCGAAGGCGGGUCUCUGGGCCGAUACUGACGCUGAGGAGCGAAAGCGUGGGGAGCGAACAGGAUUAGAUACCCUGGUAGUCCACGCCGUAAACGGUGGGCGCUAGGUGUGGGGGCCAUUCCACGGUCUCUGUGCCGCAACCUAACGCAUUAAGCGCCCCGCCUGGGGAGUACGGCCGCAAGGCUAACUAAU